rnacentral:rRNA from 1 species
GACGAACGCUGGCGGCGUGCUUAACACAUGCAAGUCGAACGGUAAGGCCCUUCGGGGUACACGAGUGGCGAACGGGUGAGUAACACGUGGGGGAUCUGCCCUGCACUUCGGGAUAAGCCUGGGAAACUGGGUCUAAUACCGGAUAGGACUCCGGACUGCAUGGUCUGGGGUGGAAAGCUUUUGCGGUGUGGGAUGGGCCCGCGGCCUAUCAGCUUGUUGGUGGGGUGAUGGCCUAGCAAGGCGACGACGGGUAGCCGGCCUGAGCGGGUUACCGGCCACACUGGGACUGAGAUACGGCCCAGACUCCUACGGGAGGCAGCAGCGGGGAAUAUUGCACAAUGGGCGCAAGCCUGAUGCAGCGACGCCGCGUGAGGGAUGACGGCCUUCGGGUUGUAAACCUCUUUCAGCAUCGACGAAGCGAAAGUGACGGUAGGUGCAGAAGAAGGACCGGCCAACUACGUGCCAGCAGCCGCCGUAA